rnacentral:rRNA from 1 species
CGCACGAGCGCACCCUCGUCCUAUGUUGCCANCNCGUUAAUGAGUGGGGACUCGUAGGAGACCGCCGGGGUCAACUCGGANGAAGGUGGGGACGACGUCAAGUCAUCAUGCCCCUUAUAUCCUGGGCUGCAAACAUGCUACAAUGGCCGGCACAACGGGCAGNGACACCGCGAGGUGAAGCGAAUCCCUUAAAACCGGUCUCANUUCGGAUUGGAGUCUGCAACUCGACUCCAUGAAGUCGGAGUCGCUAGUAAUCCCGGAUCANCAACNCCGGGGUGAAUACGUUCCCGGGCCUUGNACACACCGCCCGU